AAAAAUUUCUUCUAGUGCGGCAAUGCAUGCCGGUCGGUAUAUUCUUGCGGUGUUCGUCUCCACAAUUGGGGUUCUCUACCGAAGCCAAGCAUAUUAUCAAACUCCAUUGUAUUGUCAGAGACUGGUUUCUCCUCUAAUAACUACAGUUCUCACUGCGUGCACAUAUCCAUGUGUAUUAUUGUCUCCAGAAGGAAUACCAAACAUCGUUGUACUGCCGGAACCCGACGGAACUCCUUGUAAGGUGGGCCGCUGCAGAGGAGGUGCUUGUCUCGAACCUCGGAACUAUGGAACUGCGAGAACCUUCGCACAUGCCUAUUACAUCCGUGAGGGUGGUGGUCGCCAUGUUCCUGAUGUCAGAACGCGUAGUCAUAGCAGCAGAGGAGCUCGUGGCGUUAUAAGCGCAGGCAGCGCGAGUGCGAGCCUCACGGAGAAAAUUAUAGCCGCACCGACUGAGGACCAAUUUUAUUUUGGUAGGGGUAGAACAAGCGCAACGAGCAUGAUAUCCAGCGGAGAAGGCAGGCUGCCUUCAAGACGUAUAAAAAGAUUGCGCCAAAAACGCAG
rnacentral:lncRNA from 1 species